rnacentral:rRNA from 1 species
ACUCAAAGGAAUAGACGGGGGCUCACACAAGCGGUGGAGGAUGUUGCUCAAUUCGAAGCAACGCGAAGAACCUUACCUGGGUUUGACAUGCAGGGAUUAACCCCAUGAAAGUGGGGGGAUUGCCUUCGGGUGUAACCUGUACAGGUGUUGCAUGGCUGUCGUCAGCUCGUGCCUUGAGGUGUUGGGUUAAGUCCCCUAACGAGCGAAACCCCUGUCGUUAGUUGCCAUCGGGUCAUGCCGGGCACUCUAGCGAGACUGCCGGUGUCAAACCGGAGGAAGGUGGGGACGACGUCAAGUCAUCAUGGCCCUUAUAUCCAGGGCGGCAAACGUCCUACAAUGGCCCGUACAAAGGGAAGCAAAGCCGCGAGGCGGAGCAAAUCCCAAAAAGCGGGCCCUAGUUCGGAUUGCAGGCUGCAAUUCGCCUGCAUGAAGCUGGAAUCGCUAGUAAUCGCGGAUCAGAACGCCGCGGUGAAUAUGUUCCUGAGCCUUGUACACACCGCCCGU